rnacentral:rRNA from 1 species
UACAUGUGGUGCAAGCGUUGUUCGGAUUUACUGGGCUUAAAGGGUGCGUAGGCGGCUUUAUAAGUCAGGGGUGAAAGUCGAUGGCCCAACCAUCGAAGUGCCUUUGAUACUGUGAAGCUUGAGUGGGUGAGGGGCAGACGGAACGAGUGGUGUAGCGGUGAAAUGCGUAGAUAUCACUCGGAAGGCCGGAGGCGAAGGCGGUCUGCUGGUACCCAACUGACGCUGAGGCACGAAAGCGUGGGGAUCAAACAGGAUUAGAUACCCUGGUAGUCCACGCUGUAAACGAUGAGCACUAGUCGGCUGACCAGCGUGUGUUGGCUGAUGUAGGGAAUCUGUUAAGUGCUCCGCCUGGGGAGUAUGGUCGCAAGGCUGAAACUCAAAGAAAUUGACGG